rnacentral:rRNA from 1 species
AUUAUACAGCGAAACUGCGAAUGGCUCAUUAUAUAAGUUAUCGUUUAUUUGAUAGUACCUUACUACAUGGAUAACCGUGGUAAUUCUAGAGCUAAUACAUGCUAAAAAUCCCAACUUCGGAAGGGAUGUAUUUAUUAGAUUAAAAACCAAUGCCCUUCGGGGCUAACAGGUGAUUCAUAAUAACUUCUCGAAUCGCAUGGCCUUGCGCCGGCGAUGGUUCAUUCAAAUUUCUUCCCUAUCAACUUUCGAUGUUUGGGUAGUGGCCAAACAUGGUGGCAACGGGUAACGGAGGGUUAGGGCUCGACCCCGGAGAAGGAGCCUGAGAAACGGCUACUACAUCCAAGGAAGGCAGCAGGCGCGCAAAUUACCCAAUGCUGACUCAGCGAGGUAGUGACAAUAAAUACUGAUACAGGGCUCUUUUGGGUCUUGUAAUCGGAAUGAGUACAAUUUAAAUCCCUUAACGAGGAACAAUUGGAGGGCAAGUCUGGUGCCAGCAGCCGCGGUAAUUCCAGCUCCAAUAGCGUAUAUUAAAGUUGUUGUGGUUAAAAGCUCGUAGUUGAACCUUGGGCCUGGCUGGCCGGUCCGCCUCACCGCGUGUACUGGUCCGGCCGGGCCUUUCCCUCUGUGGAACCCCAUGCCCUUAACUGGGUGUGGCGGGGAAACAGGACUUUUACUUUGAAAAAAUUAGAGUGCUCCAGGCAGGCCUAUGCUCGAAUACAUUAGCAUGGAAUAAUAGAAUAGGACGUGUGGUUCUAUUUUGUUGGUUUCUAGGACCGCCGUAAUGAUUAAUAGGGACAGUCGGGGGCAUCAGUAUUCAAUUGUCAGAGGUGAAAUUCUUGGAUUUAUUGAAGACUAACUACUGCGAAAGCAUUUGCCAAGGAUGUUUUCAUUAAUCAGGAACGAAAGUUAGGGGAUCGAAGACGAUCAGAUACCGUCGUAGUCUUAACCAUAAACUAUGCCGACUAGGGAUCGGGCGAUGUUACUAUUUGACUCGCUCGGCACCUUACGAGAAAUCAAAGUGCUUGGGCUCCAGGGGGAGUAUGGUCGCAAGGCUGAAACUUAAAGAAAUUGACGGAAGGGCACCACCAGGAGUUAACAGACCGCCAGGCUCUGCUCCGUAGAACAAUCGGGAAACCGACAGGUGGGCUCGCCACUGAAAUGUUAGUUGCCCACUAGAGCUUCUCUAGUGGGCAGCGAUACCCUCAAAUUGCGGGGAACCCUAUUAUACCUCACUCGACCAAGCAGGUACCCCGAAAGGGGCGCUGCGGCCGGGCGUAAUGGCAUUCCGGGUAUGGUAAUACUUGGGUGAGGUUUAGGCUACCCGCAGCCAAGCUCCUAGAGGCAGGUCAUGCUUGCACGGAGAAGGUUCAGAGACUUGACGGGGGUAGACUCGCUGGCUCCACGAGGGAAAUUACAGGCUUUCCACGUAGCCAGGGGGUUUAAGAUAAAGUCCGAGCUCUGUGCGAAAGCACUGAGAAUCACCCAUGUGAAAAUAACAAUGGGAGCCUGCGGCUUAAUUUGACUCAACACGGGGAAACUCACCAGGUCCAGACACACUUAGGAUUGACAGAUUGAGAGCUCUUUCUUGAUUGUGUGGGUGGUGGUGCAUGGCCGUUCUUAGUUGGUGGGGUGACUUGUCUGCUUAAUUGCGAUAACGAACGAGACCGCGACUGUUAACUAGCCCACGCCGCCUCGGCGGCGUGCCGGCUUCUUAGCAGGACUAUCGGCUCAAGCCGAUGGAGGUACGCGUCAAUAACAGGUCUGUGAUGCCCUUAGAUGUUCUGGGCCGCACGGUAAGUCCAGACUUUUUCUCCUAUGUAUAGUGUUUUCGUCUUUUUUUUCUAGGACCUAAGCUAACAGUUCACAGCGCGUUACACUGACAGAGCCAGCGAGUUCUUCCUUGGCCGAAAGGCCCGGGUAAUCUUGUUAAACUCUGUCGUGCUGGGGAUAGAGCAUUGCAAUUAUUGCUCUUCAACGAGGAAUUCCUAGUAAGCGUAAGUCAUCAGCUUGCGCUGAUUACGUCCCUGCCCUUUGUACACACCGCCCGUCGCUACUACCGAUUGGAUGGCUUAGUGAGGCUUUCGGACUGGCCCAGAGAGGUGGGCAACUACCACUCAGGGCCGGAAAGUUAUCCAAACUUGGUCAUCUAAGGAAAGUAA